rnacentral:rRNA from 1 species
AGAACGAACGCUGGCGGCAUGCCUAACACAUGCAAGUCGAACGAGACCUUCGGGUCUAGUGGCGCACGGGUGCGUAACGCGUGGGAAUCUGCCCUUGGGUUCGGGAUAACAGUUGGAAACGACUGCUAGUACCGGAUGAUGACUUCGGUCCAAAGAUUUAUCGCCCAAGGAUGAGCCCGCGUAGGAUUAGCUUGUUGGUGAGGUAAGAGCUCACCAAGGCGACGAUCCUUAGCUGGUCUGAGAGGAUGAUCAGCCACACUGGGACUGAGACGACGGCCCAGACUCCGUACGGGAGGCAGCGAGGUAGGGGAAUA